GGGCCUGUAGUUAAGUGGUAAAACAUCGCAUUCGCAUUGCGAAGGCGGGGGUUCGAUUCCCCCCAGGUCCA
rnacentral:tRNA from 3 species